rnacentral:rRNA from 1 species
UACGGAGGGUGCGAGCGUUGUCCGGAAUCAUUGGGCGUAAGGGCGCGUAGGUGGCCCGGUCAGUUCGUGGUGAAAGCGCGGGGCUCAACCCUGCGUCGGCCAUGAAUACUGCCGCGGCUGGAGCACUGGUAGGAGGCAGGCGGAAUUCCGGGUGUAGCGGUGGAAUGCGUAGAGAUCCGGAAGAACACCGGUGGCGAAGGCGGCCUGCUGGGCCAGUUUUGCUGACACUGAGGCGCGGACAGCGUGGGGAGCAAACAGG